rnacentral:rRNA from 1 species
UACGUAGGGUGCAAGCGUUGUCCGGAAUUAUUGGGCGUAAAGAGCUCGUAGGCGGUCUGUCGCGUCGGCUGUGAAAACCCGAGGCUCAACCUCGGGCCUGCAGUCGAUACGGGCAGACUAGAGUGUGGUAGGGGAGACUGGAAUUCCCAGUGUAGCGGUGAAAUGCGUAGAUACUGGGAGGAACACCAGUGGCGAAGGCGGCUACCUGGACCGGUUCUGACGCUGAGGCGCGAAAGCGUGGGUAGCAAACAGG